rnacentral:rRNA from 1 species
CUACGAAGGGGGCUAGCGUUGUUCGGAAUUACUGGGCGUAAAGCGCGCGUAGGCGGAUUGGUCAGUUAGGGGUGAAAUCCCAGGGCUUAACCCUGGAACUGCCUCUAAUACUGCCAGUCUUGAGUUCGGGAGAGGUGAGUGGAAUUCCUAGUGUAGAGGUGAAAUUCGUAGAUAUUAGGAAGAACACCAGUGGCGAAGGCGGCUCACUAGCCCGAUACUGACGCUGAGGCGCGAAAGCGUGGGGAGCAAACAGGAUUAGAUACCCCAGUAGUCC